AUAACUACCCAGAUCAAAUUAUCGGAGAAAGAGGUGUAUAUAGACGUACCUGGAUUCCCGGGGAGGUUUCUCUUCUUCUUGGUGAGAUGAGGAGCUGGUUGAGUAGUAGUAAUAGUAGUAAUGGAUCCGUUGGAGUUGCUGGUUGUUGUGGUUGAAUAAUUAGCUAUGGAGCUUAUCAAGUGGUGGUGAUGAUGAUGGGUAGCUACUUCUUCUUGUUGUGAAGCCAAUAUUAGUUGUUGUUGGCCGUCUUCAUCUCCACCAAAGAUCCCACCUUUGAUGAUAUUUGACAUUGAUGAGAAGUAAAAAAAACAAACAACAGCUAGUGAUAGUGAUGAUAAUCUCAAAGGAGGGAGAGACAAACAAGAUGGGUGAACUCUUCUUGUUUGUUUUCUUUCCCUUUGGCAAAGCCAAAACAA
rnacentral:lncRNA from 1 species